CCACGCUGUAAACGAUGAUAGCUAGCUGUUGGGGAGCAAUCCUCAGUGGUCAAGGGAAACCGAUAAGCUAUCCACCUGGGGAGUACGGCCGCAAGGCUGAAACUCAAAGGAAUUGACGGGGGCCCGCACAAGCGGAGGAACAUGUGGUUUAAUUCGAUGAUACGCGAGGAACCUUACCCGGGCUCGAACGGCAUCUGAAUAAUACAGAGAUGUAUUAGUCUACGGACAGAUGUCGAGGUGCUGCAUGGUUGU
rnacentral:rRNA from 1 species